CAAACAAAACAAAAACCCAACCACCAGAAAACCCACCACCACUGGGAAGCCUCCGGCACUGUCUGCUCAGCUUCUGGGCAGUGAAUCUACCACCAUUCUCUGGCACCUGGGCUCCUGGGGCCUACACACUGACAGGUCUCGCUGUUGGGCCCUCUGGCUGACGGCUGGGUGUGGAGUGAGGAGGAGGGAGAUCCUGUCUCUCUGGGCUCCCUUACUUGGCCACCUUCCCCAGGACUCCUGAAUGCAGGAUGAGGACACCCGUGCACCUGCUGCGGCUGGGACUGCUGGGAGCGGGAAUCAGACCCAGGAGAUGCUGAGCGUCCAGCCUUCUGCAGCAGAAUCCGAGCCUGGCCGUGGGCUCUUGGAGUGACACCUCUUCCUUGAAGCCUCCCCUGAGCCCCUCUGACCGUUAUGGAAUUUUCCUUUCCCUCCCUCCCCCCACAACACUCUGUGUCCCUUCCACAGUGUCUGCGGCUCUGCAUUUGAUCACAGUCUCUGCAGACGGAGCUCAUCUCCCUGGGACACCCCAUUAGAAGCUCCCUACAGGCAGGCGUCCUUGUUUGCAGGACACGGAGAGGUUUGCUAAGAAGCCCUCCCUGUGCGGGCUCAGAAAACCUGACUUCCAAAGCUGGUGAGGCCAGGGUUCUGCGAAAUGCGGACCACAGGGCUACCUGCACGCGGCGGCCACCAAGAGCGUCAAGUGAAUCUGAACCGCACAGGCAGCUGGACCUCUCCACCAGGCGGUGUGGGACCGCGGCUGAGCAGGCGCGCACUGAGCAUGCGCCUCUCUUCUGGCUCCCACCGACACCUUGCUCCCGCCGUGACAAGUCUGCUGCAUCAUCUGAACCAAGUUGCCAAAAAUACAUCCACUUCUGGGCCAGAGCCAGGCUCCCCACAGCCCCCAGGUCUCAGGGCCGGGGCGGGAGGACCGCAAGGGAGGGCCCCUCCAACCUCUGAGCAAAGGGGUGUCUCUCCCACCAGACGCGCGGCAAGCAGGCGACCAUGGCCACCUGUGCAGGUUGCUCAUCAGAUGGGCCUCUGUGGAGAGGAGGCUGCCUCUCUUGUCAAAUGGGGUGCUCCCUGAGGGCACCCCACCUCUUCUCCUCUCCUUCAGUAAAACAGAGAGGCUGCUACCCAGUGCAGCGUGGCUCUCCUGUUUGAAGCUGGUCACUGCUAGGGCUAUGAUCCUGGGGAGGGGUCUGAGGGGGAGGGGAGGCGUAUCCUGGCUGUCUGCUCUCCCUGGGACCAGGGUCUUCCCUGGAGGUCCCCAUGUUGCUGGGCCUGGAAGUCUUAGAUAGAGAUGCCUUUGGGAACCUGACUGCUUUAAGAGACAUCCAUCCAUCCUGGUGACCAUGGGCACACUGUUCUCUCAGCCCCUCCUAGGAUCAGGAGAGAGAUGGGCCCCGGGAGACAGAAUAAGCCGAGAAACCCCACACCAGCCAGUCCACAUGUCCUCACUGGUCCCAGUUUGAACUGAUUAGGAAAGUCAUUUAUGCCAAGAGAGUCUCCAGUCACUCAUCCCCAUAGGCCAUAGGUGUGGGUGAGAAUGCAGUGGGAAGGACUCGAGUUGGAUAAAAAGGAGAACUUUCCAAAGGCAGAUAAUUAUUUAGAUAAUUUAGGCAAAAAAAAAAAAGGAGAUUUUCUUCAAUUAUCUUUUCUACCCCCAUUUUUUUUUUUGCACUGAAUAAUUCAUUCUUGCAUUCAUUCAUUUGUGCAAUAAGCACUGAAUUAUCUAGGUAAUUGCUCCCAUUUUCCACUCCAUCCUGCUGGGCUGUCUGUUAGCCAGCAGAGCCUGGGGUG